CCCGGGGCACAGCAGACGAAAGGUGCCCGAAAUGUCUACGUUCACCCAUGACGUCACGUCCGCUAUAACCCAUGAUGUCACAUCCGCUCAUUUCCAUGGCGGCCGUCUUACGAAGCCGCUGCGCUGCGAAACGGUCCGUAUUCCGUGCCCACUUAGAGCACUGAACAUCCCACGUCUUGGUUUGACUUCCUGGUACAGGAUACUUGCACUUAGCAUGGAGUGAUGAAGCAGAGCAGUGUACUUUUAUUAAAUGUGCAGAUUUUAGCAGUAUAACAGCAGUUCAUUAAAAAAACAUGUGUGCUGAAAAUAAAGUGUUCUUACCCACA